UCAUGGCUCAGGAUGAACGCUGGCGGCGUGNUUAACACAUGCAAGUCGAACGAAGCACUUAAUGAGAUUUCUUCGGAUUGGUUAUUUUGUGACUGAGUGGCGGACGGGUGAGUAACGCGUGGGUAACCUGCCCCAGACCGGGGGAUAACAGUCGGAAACGACUGCUAAUACCGCAUAAGCGCACAGUGCCGCAUGGCACGGUGUAGAAAAACUCCGGUGGUCGUGGGAUCGGACCCGCGUCCGAUUAGUUAGUUGGCGGGUAACGGCCCACCAAGACCGCGAUCGGUAGCCGACCUGAGAGGGUGACCGGCCACAUUGGGACUGAGACACGGCCCAGACUCCUACGGGAGGCAGCAGUGGGGAAUAUUGCACAAUGGAGGAAACUCUGAUGCAGCGACGCCGCGUGAGCGAAGAAGUAUUUCGGUAUGUAAAGCUCUGUCAGCAGGGAAGAUAAUGACGGUACCUGACCAAGAAGCCCCGGCUAACUACGUG
rnacentral:rRNA from 1 species